CAGGUCAGCAUACUGCCGUGAAUACGUUCCCGGGCCCUUGUACACACCGCCCGUCACACCAUGAGAGUUGGGGAUACCCGAAGCCUGUGAGCUAACAGUAAUGGAGCAGCAGUCGAAGGUAGAAUCAAUGAUUGGGGUGAAGUCGUAACAAGGUAAC
rnacentral:rRNA from 1 species